rnacentral:rRNA from 1 species
AAGACCUUGCGCUUUUGGAGCGGCCGAUGUCUGAUUAGCUUGUUGGUAAGGUAAAAGCUUACCAAGGCUUCGAUCAGUAGCUGGUCUGAGAGGACGGCCAGCCACACUGGGACUGAGACACGGCCCAGACUCCUACGGGAGGCAGCAGUGGGGAAUUUUGGACAAUGGGGGCAACCCUGAUCCAGCCAUGCCGCGUGAGUGAAGAAGGCCUUCGGGUUGUAAAGCUCUUUCAGCCGGAACGAAACGGUUACGGUUAAUACCCGUGACUACUGACGGUACCGGAAGAAGAAGCACCGGCUAACUACGUGCCAGCAGCCGCGGUAAUACGUAGGGUGCAAGCGUUAAUCGGAAUUACUGGGCGUAAAGCGUGCGCAGGUGGUUUUGUGAGUCAGAUGUGAAAUCCCCGGGCUUAACCUGGGAACU